UUUUAUGAGAGUUUGAUCCUGGCUCAGGACGAACGCUGGCGGCGUGCCUAAUACAUGCAAGUCGAACGCUUCUUUUUCCACCGGAGCUUGCUCCACCGGAAAAAGAGGAGUGGCGAACGGGUGAGUAACACGUGGGUAACCUGCCCAUCAGAAGGGGAUAACACUUGGAAACAGGUGCUAAUACCGUAUAACAAUCAAAACCGCAUGGUUUUGAUUUGAAAGGCGCUUUCGGGUGUCGCUGAUGGAUGGACCCGCGGUGCAUUAGCUAGUUGGUGAGGUAACGGCUCACCAAGGCCACGAUGCAUAGCCGACCUGAGAGGGUGAUCGGCCACAUUGGGACUGAGACACGGCCCAAACUCCUACGGGAGGCAGCAGUAGGGAAUCUUCGGCAAUGGACGAAAGUCUGACCGAGCAACGCCGCGUGAGUGAAGAAGGUUUUCGGAUCGUAAAACUCUGUUGUUAGAGAAGAACAAGGAUGAGAGUAACUGUUCAUCCCUUGACGGUAUCUAACCAGAAAGCCACGGCUAACUACGUGCCAGCAGCCGCGGUAAUACGUAGGUGGCAAGCGUUGUCCGGAUUUAUUGGGCGUAAAGCGAGCGCAGGCGGUUUCUUAAGUCUGAUGUGAAAGCCCCCGGCUCAACCGGGGAGGGUCAUUGGAAACUGGGAGACUUGAGUGCAGAAGAGGAGAGUGGAAUUCCAUGUGUAGCGGUGAAAUGCGUAGAUAUAUGGAGGAACACCAGUGGCGAAGGCGGCUCUCUGGUCUGUAACUGACGCUGAGGCUCGAAAGCGUGGGGAGCAAACAGGAUUAGAUACCCUGGUAGUCCACGCCGUAAACGAUGAGUGCUAAGUGUUGGAGGGUUUCCGCCCUUCAGUGCUGCAGCUAACGCAUUAAGCACUCCGCCUGGGGAGUACGACCGCAAGGUUGAAACUCAAAGGAAUUGACGGGGGCCCGCACAAGCGGUGGAGCAUGUGGUUUAAUUCGAAGCAACGCGAAGAACCUUACCAGGUCUUGACAUCCUUUGACCACUCUAGAGAUAGAGCUUCCCCUUCGGGGGCAAAGUGACAGGUGGUGCAUGGUUGUCGUCAGCUCGUGUCGUGAGAUGUUGGGUUAAGUCCCGCAACGAGCGCAACCCUUAUUGUUAGUUGCCAUCAUUCAGUUGGGCACUCUAGCAAGACUGCCGGUGACAAACCGGAGGAAGGUGGGGAUGACGUCAAAUCAUCAUGCCCCUUAUGACCUGGGCUACACACGUGCU
rnacentral:rRNA from 1 species